rnacentral:rRNA from 1 species
GACGAACGCUGGCGGCGUGCUUAACACAUGCAAGUCGAACGGAAAGGCUCUGCUUUUGUGGUGUUCCCGAGUUUCGAACGGAUGAGUAACACGUGAGUAACCUCCCCUUGACUUUGGGAUAACGUCAGGAAACUGGGGCUAAUACCGGAUCUGAGCUCCUUCUGAAUGGUGGGGGUCGGAAAGUUUCGGCGGUUGGGGAUGGACGCGCGGUUUAUCAUCUUGUUGGUGGGGCAGAGGCUUACCAAGGCUUUGACGGGUAGCCAGACUGAGAGGGAGACCGGCCACAGAGGGACUGGGGAGCGAGCAAGACGGAUUCGGGAGGAAGAAGUGAGAGACAUAGCGAGAAAGGCGGAGGGAGGAAGGAGGGACGCCGCGUGGUAGAUGACGGCCUUCGGGGAGUAAACCGCAUUGGCCUGUGAAGAAGCGUGAGUGACGGUAAUGGAUAAAGAAGCAACGGCUAACUACGUG